rnacentral:rRNA from 1 species
UACAGAGGGGGCAAGCGUUAUUCGGAAUUAUUGGGCGUAAAGGGCGCGUAGGCGGCCUGGCAAGUGGAAGGUGAAAUCCCUCGGCUUAACCGAGGAACUGCCCUGCAAACUGCUUGGCUUGAGUCCGGGAGAGGUGAGUGGAAUUCCCAGUGUAGCGGUGAAAUGCGUAGAUAUUGGGAGGAACACCAGUGGCGAAGGCGGCUCACUGGACCGGAACUGACGCUGAGGCGCGAAAGCGUGGGGAGCAAACGGG